rnacentral:rRNA from 1 species
UACGUAGGGGGCAAGCGUUGUCCGGAUUUAUUGGGCGUAAAGAGCGUGUAGGCGGCUUGGAAGGUCAGCUGUGAAAACUCGAGGCUCAACCUCGAGACGUCGGUUGAAACCACCUGGCUAGAGUCCGGAAGAGGAGAGUGGAAUUCCCGGUGUAGCGGUGAAAUGCGCAGAUAUCGGGAAGAACACCCGUGGCGAAGGCGACUUCCUGGCCUGUUCUUGACGCUGAGGCGCGAAAGCUAGGGGAGCAAACGGG